CUCCUCUUCAUCCCCAAGAUUCAUAUGGAGGAAGUUCUCUCAGUUGAGGGGAAUGUUGUCUGGCUCGAGGUCACCAACUAGAUCCAUUAGUCCCAUUUUAUGCUUUUCAAAUAUGGAAAGGGUUUAUGGAUCAUAUGUUGGUGUUCUCGGACCAGGCUUCAUUCCCCCCAAUUGUUACUUCUUUCGGAGAGGGGGGGCAAGCUAGAGGAGUUCAUUUGAUGAACUUUCUGGUUAAAAAUAUUGUCUCCGUCACUAUAUUACUUUAGUCACAAAAAUAGUGGGAUAUGCAUAUAUAUACAUGCACAUAUUUUGAAAAAAGGUACGUUCUUUUUGUCGAAUUUAAUGUGAGAUCUUGGUUUAUAUGAGGGGAGUUUUUGGAUUUGUAUUUUGUAGGUUGUGAGAUUUGGUCAUUAUUAGGCAGUGUUGUUGGUGGACAAGAGCAGAUUGGUGUAAUGAUGAAGAUAUUUGACUCCAUUUGCCACUUUCCUAUGCUUGUGGAUAUGGAAAAUAAUCUUGAAAUCUGAGAUAAUAUCCUAACUUGCAUUGUGUACUAGAUCUUGUGACAUCAUCAUACACAGAUUUGUUAAUAAAUCUCUUCACAUGAAUAAGAAGUCAUUCCUCAUUUUUGUUUCACCUUUUGGGUUAAAAAUAUAGGAAUUGUGGAAGAAUAUAAUUCAUUCUAAGCUCUUGUAAAGUUGGCAUAAGAUUUCUUUUUCUUUCAGAGAAUAAUCUUUUCAAUGACCUAUUGCUUACCAGAGUUCUAAUUCAAGUUACACAAGCUGUUUUAGUCUAAGAAUUCUUUUUAUAUUAGCAGUCAUUCAAAAUA